rnacentral:lncRNA from 1 species
UAACACUUUCACCAUGGCUGAGAGGAUUCACAUCAGUAAACUUUCCGAAUAACUGAAAUGCAUUUCUUUAAUCAUUAAGAGGUUUUUUAAAAAAUAUAUAAACUUCUCCCAUUUUUCCGGCUGCCUUUCCAAGAUGUAUGCUUUUAUCUUCUUGAACAGAAUAUUCUGAACACAAAUAUAAUGUUGUUACAAAGAUUGAUCAUUAUACUGAAAUUCACAGUAAUGAUGACGGUUAAAAUUGACCUCUAAAGUUUUUUUCCAAUCCAAGUUUAACAACUAUCAGACAAAAUUAAUGUUGCUCUGUCCCCAAAUGACCAAAGACUUCUUGUUUUAAACCUGAGGUUUUUACCUUCAGCUGGGGUAUAGUGGUGUCAGCCUUACUUCUAGACCGGAAGGAAGCAACAGGUGUUCACACAAGAGCAUGCAGGACAGCUUAUACAAAUCUCUCAGGGAGGUGGUUAAAAGCCAGAUUCUGAUUCAUGCCUGAGAUUCUGCAUGUCUAACAACCUUCCAGGCGGUGCUGGUGCUGCUGGUCCAUAGAUCGCUCUUUGAGUGGCAAGGACCCAGGGAACUCUACUCACCAAACUUUGCAGUCUGGCUGUUGGCAAGGCUUGAGGAGGCCAGGAAGUUCCUGGCACAGAGCAGAGCUGCAAAGAGCUUUGACUAGACAUGGAUCAUUCACAAAGUACAGACCGAGCUUAGAAAAAGAAGGAGCUAGGUGACAAAAAUAAAUCACUCAUUCUUCUAAAAUAAUCCAAAGGAAGGAAAGAGAAUUCCCUUCCUUAAGAGAUGUAUUAAUACUUUAGAGACAAAUAUUUUCUGGUCUUUGUGGUUCCUUUGAUGUUGAAAAGAGGUACUUAGGCCACAUCAAAAAAAUAAUAAGCUAUGUUACAUAAAGAUCAGUUUUGUGGAGAGAGGUCCACUUCUACAGCUUGAGACUUCUUAUCCUAAAAUUACACUUGAGAAUUUUAAGAUGGCACUAAUGUGCAUUUUGGCUCAGACAGUAAAGCAUCUGCCUACAGUGCUGGAGACCCAGGUUUGAUCCCUGGGUUGGGAAGAU